CAUCUUGCACGAUCAAAAUCACUCAUUUAUUAGAAAUGAGUGUCCGUAGCAGUAGGGAAGUUCUCCUUCAGAAAGCUUCUCGCUUCAGAUGUAGAAAGGAAAAUCCGACGUGGAGCAUUCGGAGGCGAGAUUCUAAGCUUCGCAGGGUAUAAGAGCGCAGGUUUUAGAUUUUUCUCAUAACAUUCAGACAUCAGAGGUUUAAAAAGAAGCCUUGCCUUCAUUACUUCUGGACUAAAAUCUUCUACUAAUCGAAAAUUGUGAUCUUGAAAUUUGACCAUCCCUGCACGCCGAGCCACACGAAUAAGUUGCUCUUUAACAUGCACAUAAUGAAAUCGGACAGUUACAACCGGUGGUUUAGCUGAAGCACUUGGUGAUCGACGCAUAAUUCUGUGAGCAUGAUUGAGUAACGGAGGACUGUCUGGGAAUACAGAAGGGAACGCAUCCUUUAAAAGUUGAGCAAAGUACUUCGAGGGGUCCCCUUGUUCAAUACCUUCCGGGAGACCAAGUAUGUGUAGGUUCUGUCUUCUGGACCAAUUCUCAAAGUUGACACUCUUGGCUUUAAGUGUUUCCACCUGUUUAAUCGUCAAAAUUAGUCCUGACAAAGGGUCUCGGCCCGAAAUGUCAACAGUGCUUCUUCUUAUCGAUGCUGCCUGGCCUGCUGCGUUCCACCAGCAUUUUGUGUGUGUUGCUUGAAUUUCCAGGAUCUGCAGAUUUCCUCGCGUAAGAGGUACUGGCUACAUUUUGCAUAAAGUUGAGGAGCUGGGAAUGAAAACCUGACUGCCUAUUCAGCCUACACAAUAUUGUUUGUCAGCAACACUGGAAGAACUGUUGGUGCCUGUGAUUUGCUAUUUGGAGAUCAUCUGGGUGUGCCAGCACUCUGCAAUCUUGGAGAGGAUUCCGGAAGACACAGGCAGCAUGCGCAGACCUCAUGCGAGCGGGCUGUGGGAUGGCACGCAAGCCAAUGUUUGACUCCAUUUCACUGAUUAAGGCUUCCGUUGUUCACUGAUUCAAGCGAUGAGGGAGGUUGAAACAUUGAGGUGAAUGUGGAAAUUUGGAGAUCGUUUGGGUGCCUCAGCGCUCUGCAGUCUCCGAGCGAAUUCCGGGAGACAGAGGCAGCAUGCACAAAACUCUUUGGUGGGCACAAACUGAUGUUUGACUCAAUUUCACUGAUUAAAUUUUCCAUUGUGCACUGAUUAAGGUGAUGAGGGAGAUUGAAACAUCAAGGAAUGCCAUUGGGAUGCAGAAGGUGAGCGCUGACUGCCUGUUUAUUGAUCACUCUACCACUGAAGAGGGGAGUGUCUGCCCUUGUGCCUGGUGAAUGUUACCCAGGUUUUCAGUGCUUUGGAUGUGGACUUGCACUUUUGACUUCUUUUUCAGUCUUAAACGUUCUGUGUUUUUCACCUGAUCUUUUUUUUUGUGUGUGUGGGGGAUUUUGGGGGUUGAUCAUUGUGCUGCCUUUCUUUUCUUUCCUGGUUUCAUGUCUACCCGGAGAAGAAGUAUUUCAGAGUUGCAUACUUUGAUAAUAAAUGAACUUCUGAACAAUAUUACAAAAGUAGCUAACAAAGAGAUAAUACAAAGUUCAUCAGCUAAAAAUGGAUUACUCCAAUAUAUAUAUGCACUAAUCCUGCACUCUGUAGCUAACUUUUUCUUUUAAGGGAGCUUAAUGCAAAAUUUAAUCACAAUCCCCAGACAACUGGCUGCAUGAGUUCAAGCUGCUCAGUGUUAUCUUCAUUGCAACACAACAAUGAGUAGUGAAUGCACCUGCCGGCUUGUUCAUGUGCAAACUAACAUGUGGGUGUAAGCCCCUAGAGGAGAUGUUGUGUGAAACUAUCCCACUGUAAGUGAUGUACUGGUGUUACCUGCUGAGAUGGUUGGUGCAGAGGUAUUGGUGGAAAGGGGGUAUGCAUCCCAUUUUUCAGAUCCACUGCAGUGUGAGUUACAAUUGAAUACAAAAGGUCAAUGUCGUGCACCUUCCCAGUCAUUAGUCUUCUGUUUGGAUAUGGAGUUAGUUAAGAAAACUCAAGAGAAUCUCUUGAGAUCUUUGCAUAUAUCGUUAGAGGCAGUCUCUUUUUGCCACAGUCUGAAGUACCAACUUCUCAACUCCCAUCCACCUGCUGGAUAGUCUUAAGCAAAAUAUUGGUAUUAGUCUAUUAUUGUCAACUGUUUAGGAUGUUGUGAUGUGUUGUUUUAGAUAUUGAGGCCAAAUUUGGAGUAUUAUGUGUAUUUCUGAUCACCUGCCUACAGGAAAGUUAUCAAUAAGAUUUAAAGAGUGCAGAGAAAAUUUAGGACUUGAAGACUUGAGUUAUAGGGAAAGGUUGAAUAGCCUAAGACUUCUUUCCCUGGAGGUAGGAGAAUGAGGGGAGAUUUGAUAGCGGUAUAGAAAAUUGUGAGGGAUAUAGAUGAUGUAACUGCCAGCAGGCUUUAUCUUCUGAGGUUAGGUGAGACUAGAACUAGAGGUUAUAGGUUUAGGGUGAUUAAGGAGAACCUGAAGGGGGACUUCCACAUUCAGGGUGUUAUGACUGUGGAAAGAGCUGUCAGCAGAAGUGGUGGAUUUGGGUUCAUUUGCAACAUUUAAGAGAGGUUUUGAUAAUUACAUGAAUGGGAAGGGUAUGGAGGGCUAUGAUCCAGGUGUGGGUCAAUGGGACUAGGCAGAGUUACAGUUCAACAUGGACUCAAUGGUCCAAAGGGCCUGUUUCUGAGCUCUUUGAUACUAUGACUCUAACAAGAUAUUGAACCUAUUGAUUUUUGUGUGCCAUCCACUAUCAUGUUAUUCAGAAGUAUGAGGGGUGAUUGAUAAGUCCGUGGCCUA